rnacentral:ribozyme from 1 species
AGAGCAAGCUGUCGGCGAUGGGCAUCAAGCCGGGCGCGGCCGCGAAGAAGCACGUGCGGGUGGACGCGGAGGGCACCUCGUGGGAGGACAAGAGCCUCAGCGAGUGGCCCGAGGGCGACACCCGGCUCUUCGUCGGAAACCUCGGCAACGAGGUCACGGACGACCUCAUGUCGCGGGCCUUCGCCCGGUACCCGAGC